UACGUAGGGGGGCUAGCGUUGUCCGGAUUUAUUGGGCGUAAAGAGCGUGUAGGCGGCCAGGUAGGUCUGCUGUGAAAACUCGAGGCUCAACCUCGAGAUGUCGGCGGAAACCAUCUGGCUAGAGUCCGGAAGAGGAAAGUGGAAUUCCUGGUGUAGCGGUGAAAUGCGCAGAUAUCAGGAAGAACACCCGUGGCGAAGGCGGCUUUCUGGGACGGUACUGACGCUGAGACGCGAAAGCGUGGGGAGCGAACAGGG
rnacentral:rRNA from 1 species